GAUGAACGCUGGCGGCGUGCCUAAUACAUGCAAGUCGAGCGAACGGACGAGAAGCUUGCUUCUCUGAUGUUAGCGGCGGACGGGUGAGUAACACGUGGAUAACCUACCUAUAAGACUGGGAUAACUUCGGGAAACCGGAGCUAAUACCGGCUAAUAUUUUGAACCGCAUGGUUCAAAAGUGAAAGACGGUCUUGCUGUCACUUAUAGAUGGAUCCGCGCUGCAUUAGCUAGUUGGUAAGGUAACGGCUUACCAAGGCAACGAUGCAUAGCCGACCUGAGAGGGUGAUCGGCCACACUGGAACUGAGACACGGCCCAGACUCCUACGGGAGGCAGCAGUAGGGAAUCUUCCGCAAUGGGCGAAAGCCUGACGGAGCAACGCCGCGUGAGUGAUGAAGGUCUUCGGAUCGUAAAGCUCUGUUAUUAGGGAAGAACAUAUGUGUAAGUAACUGUGCACAUCUUGACGGUACCUAAUCAGAAAGCCACGGCUAACUACGUG
rnacentral:rRNA from 1 species